GAUUGGGAGAGAAUUUGACCAGAGCCCUGUGUACAUCAGGGCCUACAUAGGUUGAUGGCAGCCUGAUUGCAGUUUGGUUCAGUUCUGUAACAGGAGUUUCAACUGUGGAGUCAGAAUGCAAGGCCUCUUGAGAAAGAUGUACAUUUACUUCUGAAGCAUGAAGCAUGAAGGUUUGGGUUGUUGUGUAACCUAAGUGUGUAGAGGUAAAAAGCUUGUGGCUGUUUUGGUUAUUUUACUUUGUAGCCUUCCUGUCUAGAGAAAUAAAAUAAAAUCCUUUAAAUGAAAAUGCUGUUCU
rnacentral:lncRNA from 1 species